rnacentral:rRNA from 1 species
UACGUAGGGGGCAAGCGUUGUCCGGAUUUAUUGGGCGUAAAGAGCGUGUAGGCGGUUUGGUAGGUCUGUUGUGAAAACUCGAGGCUCAACCUCGAGACGCCGAUGGAAACCAUCAGACUAGAGUCCGGAAGAGGAGAGUGGAAUUCCUGGUGUAGCGGUGAAAUGCGCAGAUAUCAGGAAGAACACCCGUGGCUAAGGCGGCUCUCUAGUACGGUACUGACGCUGAGACGCGAAAGCGUGGGGAGCGAACAGG